rnacentral:rRNA from 1 species
AAUAGAUACCCGGGUAGUCCAUGCCGUAAACGUUGGGAACUAGAUGUAGGGCCUGUUCCACGGGUUCUGUGUCGUAGCUAACGCAUUAAGUUCCCCGCCUGGGGAGUACGGCCGCAAGGCUAAAACUCAAAGGAAUUGACGGGGGCCCGCACAAGCGGCGGAGCAUGCGGAUUAAUUCGAUGCAACGCGAAGAACCUUACCAAGGCUUGACAUAUACGAGAACACUGUAGAGAUACAGGACUCUUUGGACACUCGUAUACAGGUGGUGCAUGGUUGUCGUCAGCUCGUGUCGUGAGAUGUUCGGUUAAGUCCGGCAACGAGCGCAACCCUCGUCCUAUGUUGCCAGCACGUGAUGGUGGGAACUCAUGGGAUACUGCCGUGGUCAACACGGAGGAAGGUGGGGAUGACGUCAAAUCAUCAUGCCCCUUAUGUCUUGGGCUUCACGCAUGCUACAAUGGCCGGUACAAAGGGCUGCGAUACCGUAAGGUGGAGCGAAUCCCAAAAAGUCGGUCUCAGUUCGGAUUGGGGU